AGGAGGCACUGGUUGAUUUUAUGGGCAGCCUGCCAUGAUAAAAUGUCAAGAGAUGCAGCGAAGUUAUUAUACACCGGAAAUGAGGGGAAGGAGAUACUAUUGAACCAAACAGCGCCAGGAAACUGGGACGAUAAAGGAAAUAUCAAACAAAUUCAAGUGUCUCGGCCAUCAUCAAAAGAUCGACAGUAGUAGACGGGUGAUUUGGCCAUGUAUGUACUCCAGGGAAAGUGAGAAAGUGAGAGAAGCUAUAUUAACUUGUCAAAGAACCCCUCAUUUAAGAAUAAGAAGAACCUUCAGACUAUUAGCCUGAGUUCUUUUUAAAAAAAGACUGCUGGGACUUUAGAAACAAUUAAGCAAGAUGAAAUGUAAAUAUGAGAAAACGUACUGCGUUAAUUAAAUGCCAGGGAUAGGAGGGAGUCACCUGAAAGGGUUACACGGACGGUGAGCUUGCCUCUCCAACAUCAAAUCCCGGCUUUGUCUCUUACCAGCUGGGUGACAUCAGUUGAGGAACAAUCAGGGAUCUGCUUUUCCUCCAAGGAGUGUCUGAAAGAGCAAGAACACACUGGAGGGGACAGGCUUCCAGCGCAGGAAGGGGAGCGCGUUCAUUCAGCACCGAGAGCACUCACUAAGGGACAGCCACAUUUAAUAAAAGACAAGACAAAGCAGGGGGACAGACCUGGUGGGAGGUCCAGUCCUCUCCCUAAAACCCAGGAAAGGUCCAUUCCUGUGGCUUCCAGAGGUUCUGCAAGGGUUCAAGACAGCACAGAAAGAUAAUCAAGGUGGACACAAAAGAAGAAAGAACAAGCAGGAACAUUAAACGAAGAACAUGAAGCAAAGAACGAGGCUAAGACAGAAGGGAGCCCCGACGGCCUGUGUACCUGUUUCCUGUACUUGCAGGAGGAUUUCCAAUUUGACCCAGCUUUCCAGCAGCCACACAAAAUCUAGUCCACUGCAUACUCAUAAAAUGACAACAAAAUAA